rnacentral:misc_RNA from 1 species
GUAGGUGAACCUGCGGAAGGAUCAUUACAGAGUUAGGGUCUCUUCAGGCCCGAUCUCCAACCCUUUGUGUACCUACCUUUGUUGCUUUGGCGGGCCCGCUGGGGCGACCCACCGGCGGCCUUUGGCUCCCGAGUGCCCGUCAGAGACCCUUUCAAACCUGUCAAUUGUGUCGUCUGAGUACCAACUUAAUAAUUAAAACUUUCAACAACGGAUCUCUUGGUUCUG